UAAACCUUAAUAAGAUUUGCAACCAAACACAACUAAAAUAUCAGCAAGUGAAAGACAUUAAAAAUUGGGUAAGUAUAAAAACCACACUGCUGCAGGAAACAAAUUGAAGCCAAAGCAGAUUGCAUUUAUUUGUUUUUUUCCAGAAAUCUGUCAAUAGAGGGAGCCAAUAGAAGCUUUUGUUACUGGACCCAGGAAUAAAGAGGCAAGGCAUAGGUGGUGGGUGGAACUAGGCCCACAUUUUAUUCAAAACUAUUAUCUACAGGGAAAAUGAGAAGAGCAGAAAGCUAUCUUUGACCUUAAGAGAGCCAAACCCUGCCCAUUCCACGGACUGUGACAAGGCAUAGCCCCAAAGCCUGGGCCCCACUUCAUGUUAUUCAAAGGUGCUUCGUUUUGCCUGCAACGCGUCCCUGGGGAUGUCAAAGGUUGAGGGCAGCGUGGAGUAUACAAUUGCAAGUCUGAAUGCAAGCGAAAACAAGAAUUCAUGCCUCAGAUCUGUGUGGCAAAGUUAUAGAUUGCCUGGGGGAUGUCAGCUGCUUCUACCCGCAGGCUCUCCUCUGCUCGGAGAUGCAAUGCUACGGUAGGUGCCCACACUGUCAGUCUCACACCACUUUCUUGGUUUAAGUGAAAACUGGAGCUUAAGGAUUCUGCCAGGUAAAUGGAGAGCACUGUAAAAGUGCAAGUGAAGCCAACCCCUCCCGUGACGAUGGUGUCUUUGCAAAGCAUUUGUGCCUGGAGGAGCAGGGGACAGGGGACAAUAAAUCGUACGCCGUGACAUUUAUUACUUAUAGUGAAACUAAGAAGCACAUUCCAACUUCUGCAAAGAGGGUACACUAAGCAACAGC